rnacentral:rRNA from 1 species
UGGGGAAUUUUGGACAAUGGGCGCAAGCCUGAUCCAGCCAUGCCGCGUGAGUGAUGAAGGCCCUAGGGUUGUAAAGCUCUUUUACCAGGGAUGAUAAUGACAGUACCUGGAGAAUAAGCUCCGGCUAACUCCGUGCCAGCAGCCGCGGUAAUACGGAGGGAGCUAGCGUUGUUCGGAAUUACUGGGCGUAAAGCGUACGUAGGCGGUUAUUCAAGUCAGAGGUGAAAGCCCGGGGCUCAACCCCGGAACGGCCUUUGAAACUAGGUAGCUAGAAUCUUGGAGAGGUCAGUGGAAUUCCGAGUGUAGAGGUGAAAUUCGUAGAUAUUCGGAAGAACACCAGUGGCGAAGGCGACUGACUGGACAAGUAUUGACGCUGAGGUACGAAAGCGUGGGGAGCAAACAGGAUUAGAUACCCCCGUAGUCCCUGAGCGGGCUGGCAAGGCGCAU